UGGGGAAUAUUGCACAAUGGGGGAAACCCUGAUGCAGCGACGCCGCGUGAACGAAGAAGGUAUUCGUAUCGUAAAGUUCUGUCCUAUGGGAAGAUAAUGACAGUACCAUAGAAGAAAGCUCCGGCUAAAUACGUGCCAGCAGCCGCGGUAAUACGUAUGGAGCGAGCGUCGUCCGGAAUUAUUGGGCGUAAAGGGUACGCAGGCGGUUUAAUAAGUCGAAUGUUAAAGAUCGGGGCUCAACCCCGUAAAGCAUUGGAAACUGAUAAACUUGAGUAGUGGAGAGGAAAGUGGAAUUCCUAGUGUAGUGGUGAAAUACGUAGAUAUUAGGAGGAAUACCAGUAGCGAAGGCGACUUUCUGGACACAAACUGACGCUGAGGUACGAAAGCGUGGGGAGCAAACAGG
rnacentral:rRNA from 1 species